CCAAGUGAUGAACAAAAGACAAUUAUAGGGAAUUCCUCAUGCCGAACUCACGAUGUGGAUUCACUUGUUUCAGCCUUGUCUGAUU
rnacentral:snoRNA from 1 species